rnacentral:rRNA from 1 species
CGGGGGGCUGCAGUAGGGAAUCUUCCGCAAUGGACGCAAGUCUGACGGAGCAACGCCGCGUGAGUGACGAAGGUUUUCGGAUCGUAAAACUCUGUUGUGAGGGAAGAACAAGUACCAACUAACUACUGGUACCGUGACGGUACCUCACCAGAAAGCCACGGCUAACUACGUGCCAGCAGCCGCGGUAAUACGUAGGUGGCAAGCGUUGUCCGGAAUUAUUGGGCGUAAAGCGCGCGCAGGCGGUCCUUUAAGUCUGAUGUGAAAGCCCACGGCUCAACCGUGGAGGGUCAUUGGAAACUGGAGGACUUGAGUGCAGAAGAGGAAAGUGGAAUUCCACGUGUAGCGGUGAAAUGCGUAGAGAUGUGGAGGAACACCAGUGGCGAAGGCGACUUCUGGUCUGUAACUGACGCU